AGAAACUUUUUCUAUCCUGUUGAAAACUAUUUUGUGGGUGUGUUUUCUCUAGUAAUUACCUUCCCUAUUUUAAGAAUUCACCAAAAUCCUAAAUUUGCAAGCAUCAGGCAUGUGGGGCUUGUUGGAGAGAACACUGGUAGCAACAUUAAUUGCACCAAAAAUUUCCAGGAUAUUGGAGAUGGACUCCAGACUGUAAAGCUUGAGAUGCUAACUGUGAAAUCUAGAAGAUGCCAUCAGCAGACACCAUUUGACUAUGUAAACAAAGAUUACUGCACCUCCUUCAUGAAUGUGUGAAUUCUUCAUAUAACUCCUUAUAUGAAGCAGGCUUCCCAGUUAUAUAUUUCAUGUGGUUCAUCACAAAAUUGAAAUGAUUGAAAUGCCUAACAGACUCCUUGAGGGCCAUCUACGUGCCUGGCAAUUUCUACUACAUUCAUGUAGACAGAAAAGAAGUCAUUGUUCUACCUGUUGUGGUGGACAUUGUGUCCUGUUCCAGUAAUGCUUUUGUGUCCAUUCAUUUGGAUAAUAGGGUUUAUGCAUCAUCGAGUCUGGUUCAGGUUGACUUCAACUUCAUGAAAGACCUCUACAGAAUGAGUGCAUGUUGGCAGUUCUUGACCAGUCUUAGUGGGAUGGAUUUUCUAAUUAAAACCAAUCUGGAAAUUGUAACUAAGCUCUGGUUGUUCAUAGGUAAAAACAAACUGAAAACUAAAAAUAUGCCAUCCAAUAAAGAAAAAAGGUUAAAAAAAAUACAUUAUGCCAAUGUUAAUGGAAUGCUGGUGAACAUUGAGACUGUUUCAGCAUACCCUCUAUUUAAAACUCUUUUUAAUCCAGCAGUACUUACUUUGUGGUCAGUAGGUACCACAUAGAGUAAUGUGCUAGAUAAUGAAAACAUCCAAAUGUUAUGAACUAGACACAGGCCAUGUACAACCUGGACAAAUGCCCUCAUUCACUAUCAAAAGAAUUUCUGAAGUCUCUAGCUCAUUAUCCCUGAACCAUAAGUACCACUUGUCUGAUAUAAAU
rnacentral:lncRNA from 1 species